rnacentral:rRNA from 1 species
CGCUGAACUUAAGCAUAUCAUUAA